CACUUAUACCUAUCUUUACUGAUGCAAGGAAUGUGCUCUCUUUGUUGAGGAAAGGGAAAUUUCUUCUCAAUGAGGCACCAAAACAAGUUUGCCAGAGGAGCUGUCGGUGUCCCAUCCCUGGAAGUGCACAAGACAAAGUGGGAUGGGGCUCAGAGCAACCUGGUCUGAUGAGAGGUGUCUCCGCCCAUGGCUGGGGGUUGGAAAAAGAUGAUCUGUAAGGUCCCUUCCAACCCAAACCAGCUGGUCAUUCUAUGAUCCUUUGAAAUAUAUUCUGUGGGAGUCAUUAAUAUUGGCUGAGUUUGAGGAAUUUGGUCCUGUGUGAGUGCCAUCUGGUCACUCUGCUCACAGGGCUCAUCUGAAAGAGCUUGAAAUGAGGCUUGAGACAAGUACAGGAAAAAAAACAGGGUGAUUUUUUUACUUCUUUACUCUAAAACACUCUGUGCUCAUUUGGUACUGGUACUUCUACCAGUUUAUUAAGAGUUGUAAGUCUCUUUCUGCUUGUUCUUAAUUGUUUAAACCUGCAAGAAAUUAUAGAUUGAAUCAUCCAACUAUUAUUACUAAACGUAUAGAAAGGACCUUGCCUUGAAAGAUAAGACAGGAUUAGCAUAACCAAAUCUUCACAGAACUUCUAACCCUUAUUAUGUUCUUCUAAGGAUCUCACUCAUUCACUUCUCAGGAGACAUCGUUUUCUGAAGUCAUGAAUAUGAGAGAGCAGCGCAUUAUCAAGAAUGGCAGAGACAGCAGGUUCCUGAAGGUGAGCUGUGCAAUGCAUCACACAUGGAAAAAGGAAACAUCCCCUGCCUCAUCUAACCUUCAUUUGACUAGUCUAUUCAGGUUGGAUAAGUUCUGCUUUUCACUGAGACAAGAUUUAAUAUACUAUUGUUAGUUUGGAGCUUUUCUUGAGGAUUUUGAAGCCCUAAUGAAAGGUAGCUGCAAGUAGUUUAACAGUAAGGAUAUUUAGCUCACUAAUAAUUUUCUUAAUAUAUCCCAGCAGCUGGAGAUUGAGGCUCUAUUAAAAAAAAAAAAAAAAAAACUCUUGCCUUAUUCUUAUUUCUUUAUGACAUUCCUUUUACUUUUAUACAGUUUUGAGUAAUUUUUCAUUAUAUAAGUUCAUUUCUGAAGAAAUGUUUACAAUAUCAGGCAUUUUAUAAGACCUAGCAAGAGGGUUUAUAGCUAAAAUCAAAAUGUUGAGUAGUAUCCUUGGCAGGAAGGAAAAGGGCAGGCACAACAUAAGACUUCAAACAAUCCUUUUCAUUAUAAAUGAAGCACUUGGUCUCGUUCAAUUGCCAAGACUGAAGUCUUUGAGCUACACUUCUUUUCUUUUUUUUUUUUUUUAAUUUAUUUAGUUCUCUCCUUUUCAUUUUAAAAGUAUGAAAGGACAAAGCAUAUUGUAAAGGCAAAGGAAGUGAUGUUAGAAACCACUUCACCACCAUACAAGGAGCAGCAUCCAUUGAUGCACAGAGGAGUAUCACAGGAUUUUGUGCAAAGGACAGAAAUGCCUCCUAGAAUCACAAAAUGAUAUUUUCUUUAACAUUUUAGAGAAGGAAAAACACCACACUGACCACAAACCUAAAUCACUUUUCUUCUUUCCUUGCAGUAGCAACCCAGUUGCAAUAUUAUGCUUUAUGUGCUGACUACAGGCAUUUUACUUUGGUUUUCCGUUUUAGAUGUUACUCUAACAGAAAAGAUGGUUACUCAGCUUUGGAUGCUGAUAUUUGUUCUGAGUUAUCUUUCUUCUGAUGUUUUCAUAGUUCAGAGUGGAAAAUGUAAGGUUAGCUGAUAAAGUAGAAGUAUUUUCUACAUUUGUAUUGGUAGCAAAUCAAAGAAUGCUGGUGUGUAUUCAUACAUCAUCUUUCUGAACAGACAUCACCUAAAAGACUCAAAAA
ensembl:lncRNA